rnacentral:lncRNA from 1 species
CCUCCCUUCACGGCUGGUCAGCACUCAGUGGCUCAGGCUGUGGUCCGAGCUUGCAGCCUAUCCAUUUUACUGUUUUUUAUGGUUUUUUUCUUCAAAGUGAACGCACUCUUCCCAGAGUGCGCAGGGACCUGGACAAGUUCUUCCUUUCCUCUUCGCAGGUUUGCAGCUACCAGGUCUCGGGAUGCCCGAGAACGCAAAGCGCCAGCUAGCACCAGACCUUGGGGGGAUGGGACCCACCUCUACCCCACUCCAGUAGAAGGAAUUCCGGCUGAGUCACAACCAAAUGUAGAUCACGUCACAGAGACCCACAAACCAGAGGACACCUGGACAGACAACGAUUCAGUGAAUGACUAUCAUGGGUACAAUUCCUGGGAAGACGAAGUGGACGACCUGAUUGCCUGGACCAACACUCUCGAUACCGACAACUUGGACUAACUCCGCAUGACUCCAGCCUCUGCCACUGUUCAGCUCUGGGGAGCCACCUAGGAGGCCCUCUGAACUUGGAUUCUGCUUUUCACCUCCUUUCUGCAAGUGCAGAGAGGAAAAUACAAGCCAGCAUAAAUCAGCAACUAUGUCACUCUGAAUGUUUGAGCCCUGUGUCUCUGUUUGGAAUGACGUUAGCGGAGUGAGAGGUGCCAAGCACAGUAGUGCAGUAGAU